AGUGAACGCUGGCGGUAGGCCUAACACAUGCAAGUCGAACGGCAGCACAGUAAGAGCUUGCUCUUACGGGUGGCGAGUGGCGGACGUGUGAGGAAUACAUCGGAAUCUACUUUUUCGUGGGGGAUAACGUAGGGAAACUUACUCUAAUACCGCAUACGACCUACGGUUGAAAGCAGGGGAUCUUCGGACCUUGCGCGAUUGAAUGAGCCGAUGUCGGAUUAGCUAGUUGGCGGGGUAAAGGCCCACCAAGGCGACGAUCCGUAGCUGGUCUGAGAGGAUGAUCAGCCACACUGGAACUGAGACACGGUCCAGACUCCUACGGGAGGCAGCAGUGGGGAAUAUUGGACAAUGGGCGCAAGCCUGAUCCAGCCAUACCGCGUGGGUGAAGAAGGCCUUCGGGUUGUAAAGCCCUUUUGUUGGGAAAGAAAAGCAGCAGGUUAAUACCCCGCUGUUCUGACGGUACCCAAAGAAUAAGCACCGGCUAACUUCGUG
rnacentral:rRNA from 1 species